GAAAUACUGGAGGAGGAAGUCGCUGCUUGGUGGACUAACUAACGGAGUAAACACAUACAGGGUCUUGAUGAGGAAAUGCAUUCAACAGUUUGUGGAGCUUCAAAUUCCCCAUCCACAGUCAAAAAUAUUAAUGAGGUGCUGACCGACAGCAACCAGAGCCAGUCAGCUGUGAGCGACCAGAAUCAGACAAGUCCAGUGGUCAGUCCUCCUAACA